AUGAUAACCAAUAAUAAAGAAAACACAGAGCUAUUCAAUAUUAAUUUUGCUUCUGUUUUCUCUGCCAGGGAGACAGAUCUUAGGACUGGAAAGGACAGAAUGAAGAUCACUAGGAAAAUGGUUUAUUUCUCUUUUAACCAUUUGCUGCUACCCCAUUGCUCAGGAGUGAGCUCCACCAACAAUGCUACAGUGUACCUAUCUUCUCACAACUUUCACAACAUUUACUAUUAAAAAAACCAAAACUGUUGCCUUCGGUCUUAGAAUCACUACUAAGUACCAGUUCUAAGGGAGAAAAAUGGUAAAGGCUAGGCAAUUAUGGGGUGAGUAACUUACCCGGGGUCAAAGAGUUAGGAAGUGUCUGAGGCCACAUUUGAACCCAAGACUUUCUUCUCCAGGCCUGGAUCUCUAUCCACUGACCCAUCUAGUUGCCCCCUAAUAUUGAAUAUUGUAAUUUUUUUGUCUUUGUGAAUUUUCAGGGUGUGAGGUAAAACCUCAGGGUUGUUUUGGUGGUCAUUUGUCUUAUUAUUAGUGAUUUGGAAUAUUUUUUAUGAAUUUUCAAUUCUUUUGAAAACUGUUUCAUUAAGUUUUUUUUAUUUAAACUCUUACCUUCUGUCUUAGAAUCAAUACUGUGUAUUGGUUCUAAGGCAGAAGAGUGGUAAGGACUAGGCAAUGGGGGUUAAGUGACUUUCCCAGGGUCACACAGCUAGGAAGUGUCUGAGGCUAGAUUUGAACCCAGGACCUGACUCAAUUCACUG
rnacentral:lncRNA from 1 species